GGGACACGGAGUCUGUCCCUCCCACUGCAGAGUGACACAGACAGAAGGAGCUAUGGGACACGGAGUCUGUCCCUCCCACUGCAGGGUGACACAGACAGAAGGAGCUAUGGGACACGGAGUCCGUCCCUCCCACUGCAGGGUGACACAGACAGAAGGAGCUAUGGGACACGGAGUCCGUCCCUCCCACUGCAGGGUGACACAGACAGAAAGAGCUAUGGGACACGGAGUCCGUCCCUCCCACUGCAGGGUGACACAGACAGAAGGAGCUAUGGGACACGGAGUCCGUCCCUCCCACUGCAGGGUGACACAGACAGAAGGAGCUAUGGGACACGGAGUCCGUCUCUCCCACUGCAGGGUGACACAGACAGAAGGAGCUAUGGGACACGGAGUCCGUCCCUCCCACUGCAGGGUGACACAGACAGAAGGAGCUAUGGGACACGGAGUCUGUCCCUCCCACUGCAGGGUGACACAGAGGGAAGGAGCUAUGGGACACGGAGUCUGUCCCUCCCACUGCAGGGUGACACAGACAGAAGGAGCUAUGGGACACAGUCUGUCCCUCCCACUGCAGGGUGACACAGACAGAAGGAGCUAUGGGACACAGAGUCUGUCCCUCCCACUGCAGGGUGACACAGACAGAAAGAGCUAUGGGACACGGAGUCUGUCCCUCCCACUGCAGGGGUGACACAGACAGAAGGAGCUAUGGGACCGCGAGGUCUGUCCCUCCCCACUGCAGGGUGACACAGGAGCAAGGCAGCUAGCAUGGGACCGCGAGGUCUGUCCCUCCCACCUGGGGUGACAGACUACAGAAGGAGCUAUGGUACCGCAGGUCUGUCCACUCCCACUGCAGGGGUGACACACAGACAGAAGGGAGCUAUAGAACCGAGGUCCUGUCCCACCUCCCACUUACAGAGUGACACCAGACAGAAGGAGCUAUGGGACAGGUCUGUCCCUCCUGCAGGGUGACACAGACAGGAAAGGAGCUAUGGGACCGCGAGGUCUGUCCCUCCCACUGCAGAGUGACACAGACAGAAUGAGCUAUGGGAGACUGAGUCUGUCCCUCCCACUGCAGAGUGACACAGACAGAAGGAGCUAUGGGACACGGAGUCUGUCCCCCCCACUGCAGGGUGACACAGACAGAAUGAGCUAUGGGAGACUGAGUCUGUCCCUCCCACUGCAGGGUGACACAGACGGAAGGAGCUAUGGGACACGGAGUCUGUCCCUCCCACUGCAGAGUGACACAGACAGAAGGAGCUAUGGGACACGGAGUCUGUCCCUCCCACUGCAGGGUGACACAGACAGAAGGGAGCUAUGGGACACGGAGUCUGUCCCUCCCACUGCAGGGUGACACAGACAGAAGGAGCUAUGGGACACGGAGUCUGUCCCUCCC